GUCUACGGCCAUGCCACCCUGAACACGCCCGGUCUCAUCUCUGAAGCUAAGCAAGGUGGGGCCUGGUUAGUACUUGGAUGGGAGACCACCUAGGAAUACUGGGUGCUGUAGGCU
rnacentral:rRNA from 1 species